GAUUGUAGGCUGCAACUCGCCUACAUGAAGUCGGAAUUGCUAGUAAUCGCGGAUCAGCAUGCCGCGGUGAAUACGUUCCCGGGCCUUGUACACACCGCCCGUCACACCAUGAGAGCCGGUAACACCCGAAGUCAGUAGCCUAACCGCAAGGGGGGGCGCUGCCGAAGGUGGGAUUGGUAAUUGGGGUGAAGUCGUAACAAGGUAGC
rnacentral:rRNA from 1 species